rnacentral:rRNA from 1 species
UACGUAGGGGGCAAGCGUUGUCCAGAUUUAUGGGGCGUAAAGAGCUCGUAGGUGGUUCGGUAAGUCGGAUGUGAAAUCUCCAGGCUCAACCUGGAGGGGUCAUUCGAUACUGACGUGACUAGAGUUCGGUAGGGGAGUGUGGAAUUCCUGGUGGAGCGGUGAAAUGCGCAGAUAUCAGGAGGAACACCCGUAGCGAAGGCGGCACUCUGGGCCGAUACUGACACUGAGGAGCGAAAGCGUGGGGAGCGAACAGG